CUAAUCUUGGUGAAGGCCUGGGUUCCCUUCUGUCAAACUCUAUGUUGUCAGUCACGGGGACGAUCUCCAGGUAGGUAGCCUGUACGGUGUUAACUAGCGGACCGGUCGCCGAGUUCGCAGACGUGCGGAACCAGAGGUGCAGACUCGGUUUCCAGCAGGUCACGAAGAGAAGCGCCACCCGGGCUGCACUGUAGCGGUGCUCUUGCUUCCUGCGGUGUGCUUCUGCGGUCUGUGCUGAGUUCGAGUCUUCCCUGCGGGGUCGGGCUGCUGAGAGACGAUGAAGGCGAAGGUCACCGCGCCGGUGCCCCAAGCGGGGCCUGCCGAGAAGCUCGCUCGGAAGAAAGCCAAGAAGAAGUUCAGGAAGAGGAAAGCGCAGGGAGGAAGCGGGGCUCCGGGAAGCCUCCCGCCAACUAUUGCGGGCCGACCGCCAAAGGCCCCAGAGAACUUUUCUCAGAAUUGGAAGGCGCUGCAAGAGCUGCUGAAACAAAAGUCACAGGUCCCAGAAAAACCUCUUGUCUCUCAGAACGAUGACAAAAUGCAUUCCCAGAUAAUCCAGCAGAACAAAAAAGAGACCUCAGAAAAGUCAAAGGCAGACAGGAAGAGAACAGAAAAAGACCAGACCACUAGGGGUUCUGUUACGUCUACAUCUAAGAAGGACAGAAAGAUACUAGUACCUCCCACAAAUACCUCUACAACAGAACAGAAGAAAGGAGCCAAGAAGAGGACAUAUAGUGACAUCUCUUCUCAUCAAGGGGACACCAAGCAUAAGCGGAAAGCUAAGGAGGCAGCUGUUGUCUUGAAUCAGUCCACGCCUACUGAGGAAGACAUCUGGUUUGAUGAUGUGGAUCCAGAUGAUAUUGAAGCUGCCAUAGGCCCAGAGGCAGCCAUGCUGGUAUGGAAGCGGCUGGGGCAGAGCAAGAGUAACAUCACCCUGGAGAAGGAACAGGCCUUUAGCGGCCUGACAAAAGCCUUGGCCCUGGACUGUGAGAUGGUAGGCGUGGGCCCCAAGGGGGAAGAGAGCAUCGCAGCCCGCGUGUCCAUCGUGAACCAGUAUGGGAAGUGUGUUUACGACAAGUACGUGAAGCCAACUGAGCCCGUGACAGACUACAGGACAGCAGUCAGUGGGAUCCGGCCUGAGAACCUGAAGCAGGGAGAAGAGUUUGAAGUCGUGAAGAAGGAAGUGGCAGAAAUAUUGAAGGGCAGAAUCCUGGUGGGGCACGCGUUGCACAAUGAUUUAAAGGUACUCUUCCUUGAUCAUCCAAAAAAGAAAAUCAGGGACACCCAAAAAUUCAAACCUUUCAGGAGUCAAGUAAGGAGUGGAAGACCAUCUCUGAAACAACUUUGUGAGAAAAUUCUGGGGAUCAGGGUCCAGCAGGCAGAACAUUGUUCAGUCCAGGAUGCCCAGGCAGCAAUGAGGCUGUACAUCAUGGCAAAGCGGCAGUGGGAGAGCAUUACAGCAGACCGGCGCCCCCCAGCCACCACCCCAAAGCCCUGCAGCGAGUACGCUUAGCACCAGCUUACUACUGCCACCUCCUCUGCAUCCUUCAGUGACUCUUCAGUGGCAGUUGGGAUGGGAUUAUGGAGGCCCAUCAGAUUUCUGCACAGCAGGGACUCACUCUGGGUCACCCUCCCUGUUACCAAGACCUCAGGCUGCUCACCCAACAAGGACAGCAUCCAGAGUACCGCACAGCCAGCUUCAGCCAUUUCCACGUCCUCGGGGUGCAUGGCCAGCACCGAGGUGACCGCGACUGAGAGCUUCUGCAAGGGCUCUUUGUCCAAAGUGGCAGCUAGAAUGAGGACAAGGGUGGGAGACACCAUGCCACGUAUGAAGAGAGGUACCUGCCGCAUGUGUACCCUCCAUACUGCUCUCUCCCACCAACAACAGCAGAGGACAAUCAAGGGGACAGAUGUCCUCAGAGAUGGAAACUGGGGCUUUCCAAUGCCAGUGUCUACUGUAGACUCAUCAGUAGAGAUGAGGACUUUCUGCACUGUGGCAUUAGCAGGAUCUCUGCAGUUUUCUGGAGCUGCCAUGGCUUGGAACCCUCUCUCCUAGAGCAAAACAGUAUCUAGAAGAGGGGGAAGGACAGGCCCUGGAACCCCCAUCUUAAAACAAAAACCAGGAUAGGGCAUCAAGUUCUGACUGACCUCUAAAACCAGGGUUGCCUACUCACUGGACAGGCAUCCUCUCUUAUCUCACUUGUGUCUCACUGUGCCCCUGUGCUAGGCUCUCAGAAGAGCCCCAUAGGGCUGGGGUUGCCCUCCUGGGCUUAAGGGGUAAGCUAGAGAGCUGCGGUUCUCAACCUGUAGGUUGUAACAGACUGAGAACUGCUGAUAUAGAGGCUCUACUGUGGUGGCUCUCAACCUCCCUAAUGCUGUGACCCUUUGAUACAGUUCCUUGUGUUGUGGUGACCCCUAACCAUAAAGUUGUUGGUGUUACAAAUCAUGUAUAUCUGUUUUCUGAUGGUCUUAGACAACCUUUGUGAAAAGGUUGUUCAGCCCCCAAAGGGGUCGCAAUCUACAGGUUGAAAGCCACUGCUUUAGCAGGUCUCA